UUUUCCAUAAUAUUGCGAGUCGUAGUUUGUGCUCUUCGAGUCUUCGACGCGGACGGUGCAAGGAAUCCGCUUGGUGACACUGUACAUGACAUAAACAAAUCGAAAGAAGAAUAAUU